rnacentral:rRNA from 1 species
AGCGGCGGACGGGUGAGUAACGCGUGGGUAACCUGCCUCAUACAGGGGGAUAACAGUUAGAAAUGACUGCUAAUACCGCAUAAGACCACAGCACCGCAUGGUGCGGGGGUAAAAACUCCGGUGGUAUGAGAUGGACCCGCGUCUGAUUAGCUAGUGGUAAGGUAACGGCUUACCAAGGCGACGAUCAGUAGCCGACCUGAGAGGGUGACCGGCCACAUUGGGACUGAGACACGGCCCAA